rnacentral:rRNA from 1 species
GUCUAUGGCCAUACCACCCUGAACAGCCUGAUCUAGGAAGCUAAGCAGGGUUAGGCCUGGUUAGUACUUGGGUGGGAGAUUUGCAUCUGAGAUGAAAGCUCAUAUACU